UACGAAGGGGGGCUAGCGUUGUUCGGAAUUACUGGGCGUAAAGCGCGCGCAGGCGGUCUUCCAAGUCAGUGGUGAAAGCCCGGAGCUCAACUCCGGAACUGCCAUUGAAACUGUGAAACUUGAGGACGAGAGAGGUGAGUGGAAUUCCCAGUGUAGAGGUGAAAUUCGUAGAUAUUGGGAAGAACACCGGUGGCGAAGGCGGCUCACUGGCUCGUUUCUGACGCUCAGGCGCGACAGCGUGGGGAUCAAACAGG
rnacentral:rRNA from 1 species